rnacentral:lncRNA from 1 species
GCAGCUGUAGCUCCGAUUCGACCCCUAGCCUGCGAACUUCCAUAUGCCACAGGAACUGCUGUAGAAAGGAAAAAAAAAAAGGAAUUGUGAUUUCAGAGAUUUUGAUUCGGGUAACCCCAAAACGAGUGUUCCAAGGAAGAGAGAGGUAAAGACGAAAAGUCAGUAGGUUGCCGAAAGUCGCCUGGCCAGAGUUAUGAUGAUCUCUGAUGCAAGUUGGAAAAUGCCUAUCCUUAAGGAAUCUCGGGUUGUUUGAGGCUAGGAAUCCAAUAAGUAUCUUGAGUUUUUGGCAGGUGUUCUGGGAGACUUUAUCAGGUCAGAAGGUCAGAUUCCCUCCAGGCUGAGAAAUGCGUUGUCUUAAUGGCCUUCCAGCUCCAUUUAAGAGAGCUCUCUUAGCAAUACUGACUCUAUUGUGAUUUUCCUUUCACAUCUACUUGCCUCUUUCAAUUUUGUAGUAUUAAAAAUCUUUUGGCUAGAUUGUUACCAGGUGGCUGAAACAUGUGGUCAUGAAUUACUGGAAUAGGAAGAGUCAGUUGACCUUUCAGCAGAAACCUUUGCAAAAGGUAGAUACCAAGCAGUAGAGUUGAAUUGUUAAUCUCUUUGAAAGGAGUCAUGUAAUAAAAGAAGCAUCAGAAAUCAGGGGUAUUUGUAUUUGUUUUAUUUUAAGGGUUUAGUUUCCUUGACUAAUUACCAUAAAAUCACCUCGAGUGCCUGUUUUGAAAAUGGUGUUAUUGUAGGUUUCUGGUUUCACUAGAAGUUCCUUUGGUUUCUCCAGUUUGUUUUGUUCUUAUCCUUGACUUGAGUCCUGGGACCAGAUUUUCCAUUGUUCUUUCCCUGCUGCUGCUGACACCAAAGUUUUUAAACUUGAAGACUCAAAUUUCAGAUAGGAUACAAAUUUACAAACUCAGACCUAAUCGAGUAAGCUUAUUUUUAGGAUUACUUCAGAGUCAUCUAAGGAGUAAUCUCAGUUAUUUUUUUCAGGUUUUUCUUUAGCAGUAUUUCACCUACAAUCAAAGUUGGUAGGUGUGGUUAGGUACAAAAGGAUUGAAGGAAUGUGAGUGUUCACGGUUUGCUUCAUUUGCUUGUUGUCUAGGAUCUUGUAUCUCAUGCAUAACACACACAAGGUUGUUGUGACAGAGCAGAGCAUAAGAACAGAAUGCUGAUCAUUGUGAGCAUGUACUUAGCGCACAAUGUAAUUUUGCUCUUUCUCCAUGUUGUUGGCAUUUAAGUGGUGAUUGAGUGCCUGUGAGGGGCAUAGCAAAAAGUCUCUGAAUUCAGAUAUUUACUAGAAUUCAAAGCCUUUUCUGAGAAUUGGCAUAUUAAUUUAUAUAGCACAACGUUUGCUAAAUAAUCUUAGAUUUACACCAGUUACUUCUCUGUCAGCCUCUGGUCAGUACUCCCUCUACUGGAACACAAUUCGUAGCUGGAUAUUGCAGCUUGUAAUUGGUAUGCUAUGGCCUGUUGAGUAAUACUUUUCAAAAGUAUCAUAGUUUUUUUCCCAAACAGCAGUUUGAAUUUUUAUCUUUUAAUGCAAAGCAAAGGUAAAGUCUUGUUUGAUGAAAAAGUCAUGCAAUACUGAGAUUAACAUCAAUAAAGACUUUUAAGGUAAUCAUAGUCAGAAUCAGCCAGAUAUUUAAACAGUUAAUCGGCUAGUGCUAUUUUUUUUUUCCCCCCAGUCAAGUUUGGAAAAAACUUGUUCCUUUCCCCCACCCCCACAAUUUCUUUCAGUUUUAUCUUCUUUUAAAGCAGGAUUUCUAUAGAGGAUAUAUGCUCUUUACUGGUAUGAAACUGACAUGGAAAGUAUAACUUUGUUUGACUUUUGUUUCCUUGUUUUAUACACAUUAACAGUUUGUGUGCACUGCCCUACCCUUUUACCCCCACUCUUUUAUAUGGCUUUGACAUUGUCCUGUUACAGUGAAAAUUACGACCUAACUAUGUUUGCCUUGUAGUAUUGCAGCACCCUCCUUAAGUGAGUUGAGUAAGAUGACAUAAGUCUGUUAACAAAAGUUCUGUGAAGUUGUUUAUAUAAAACAUUUUUAUCUUUUUCAUCCAUCCAUACUUCCCUCUUCUGUAUUUUUUUUUUUUUUUUAACGACCACACUUGUGGGACAUGGAAGCUGCUGCCUCAGCUGCAGCCUACACCUCAGAUGCCACCGUGCCAGAUCCUUUAAUCCACUGCCCCAGGUCAGGGAUUGAACCCAAGCCUCUGCAGCAACACAGGCUACUGCAGUCAGAUUCCUAGCCCUCUGUGCCACAGCAGGAACUCGCCCUCUUGCUGUAUUUUAAGUUCAGAGAAGAAUGUGGCCUGAGUUGACUGAUUCACGCUAAUGUCUUUGGCCUUAACACCUCUAACGAUGGAGAACCUACUGGUAGAUCUCAAAUAGCAGUCUUUGCUACGCUUACUCAAAGGCAGGUAGAACUAUUUUCCCUUUUUCUCCUGAUUGGACUCUGUGCCCGUCUGCAUCUUUCCUCUCUGCAACUCUUUGCAUUUCCUUACCUUUCUUUUUCUUUUGACCUUCAGAGUAAAGAGUAAGCAGCCCUUCUACACAGAAAACUCUUAUUGUCUGAAGGAAAAUCUGUACUCAGCAGAAAACCCCAAAACAUUUUCCCAUAUUUUUAAAAUUUAACUUCCCUGGUGUAGAGAGAAAAAAAAUAGCAAGUUUACAGUGACUUCUAAAUUUAAAUUGGGAGUACUGCGUGCUCCAUACUUAGGCCUUUUAUGAAAUAUUAGCACCAUUGUUUGGAACGGGGUGGUCUGUAGUAUGUGCCAAACGCCACACAGCAGGAACCUCAUUUCACAAGACUGAGCAGUGUGACGGGGUCCCCAGUGCCACAGUGCUUGGUGGUAUCAUGGUGGCACCAGCAUCUUUCUGGACUGAUUUCAGCAUUUCUCUGCUCUGCACCGGGGUGGGGGGGGGAGGGUGGUCUCGUCACUUUGAGGUAGAAUAUGAAUUGGCCAUUGAUCUAGCUGCAGAAGCCCUGGAAGUGAUAGUACCUAACAUUUGUUACAUGCUUACUCUGUGCCAGACACCCUUCUAGACAUUUUGCGUAUAUCCACGGAAUUUUCAUCAUAACACAGUGAGAUAAUACUCUUAUAGGCAUACCUUGUUUUCUUGCGCAUCGCAGAUAAUAGUGUUUUUUACAAGUUAAAGUUUUUUGGCAAUCCUCUGUUGAGCAAGUCUGUUGGAGCCGAGUCUCAAAGAGCAUUUGCUUGCUUCAUGUGUUUGUGUCACGUCUUUGUCAUUGGUGUAAGAUCUCAGACGUCUUUAUGAUUGUCAGUUUGUUAUGGUGGUCUGUGACCAGUGAUCUCUGUUACUGUUGCAGAAGAUGAGGACUUACUGAAAGGUCGUGCUGUUCUCUCUCAGUAGGGAACGUGCUUUUCCUUAACAUGCUCUCUACCCCUUGUCCCAAAGCCGUUUACUGAGUGAUGACUUUUUGGGGGUUGGGGAGACAGAAAAAAAAAAAUAGUCCCUGUUCUUCAGAGACCUCAGUCUAAUGGGGGAAAGAUGAACAUGAGAGCACAGUAGCGUGUUGUCAGUCCUACAAUAGGAGCAUCUAUAGGAUGCUGAUGCAUCCUUCCAGGUCCGGCUUUAUCGUGACAGCUUCCUCUGUCAGCUGAACAUUGGCCUCUGCUGAGCACUGACAGGUUCUCUGAACCACACUCAUGGCAUUUAACUGCGUUCUUUCUUGCAAUAUAUUCCUUUUUGGCCAUGACUCACCUCCCCCUGGGAAAAAGUCAUGGGGUUCGUCAAAGGACACAUCAGCUCUGUCACCUUGGGCAUUUACCAUUGUGUGCCUCAGUUGCUGUGUCUCUAAAAUGAGUCUUAGGAUAGCACUUAGAAAAUAAGCAAUGAGCUAAUUCAUGUCAAAGUACCCGGCUUAGCAAGAAAUGGUAGCUCUUGGCUUCGGCUGUAACCAUCUUGAACAUCAUCUUAACACCUUUUGCAAUCAGCGGAAAUUAAAUUAUCCUUUGAUGUUUAUCUGUAUCCUAAGUAGUAACAAAUGAUUAAAAAUUCCAUAAUAUAAAUUGAAUAGGCUUGAAAGUCAGAAUGAGUAGUUUAAAAGCUGGGCAGUACUCUUUCUUUCAAGUGUUCACACACACACACACACGAUAUGUUAUAAAAUUUACUUCCAGCAAGGCAUGAAAUUUUGCAGUACAUCUUGGAGAAAGUUACGAACAUUGGUUAUAUGAGAGGAGGGUACCUUUCUGCCGGGGGAAGGGGGAGAGUGAUGAGUGUGAAGCCUGGAGGAGAGCAGGCUUUUUCUCUUGGCUGGGGGAGGGGUUGCAUAAGAAAGUAAAAAUGUGAACUUUUGUUAGAGCUAGUAGUAAGGAACCAUUUGGAGCUGUGAUAUUAGAUCUGUCUUGUACCAUUUUAUAUACCUAUUUAGAGAAAAACUAGCUCUCAGUGGAAAGGAUAUUUAUCUACCUUUUAAGAGACAAAGAAUGAAGAGUUUUAAUAACUUGAAAGUCACAGUUUUGAAAUAAAAAUAAUUCACAAUGGAAGCUUUCAUGUAAAACUCCAUCAUCAUAUUUUUGGGCCUAGUUUAUGAUUCCACGUCAGGAACUGAUCCUAUACAACACAGCAAGAAAAUGGGAAACUAAUAUGGACAUAAUAUUUCAAGGACUAAACAUGAACCAUUUAAUGUUUGCUUAGCAACUGCUUGUAGUUUUAAAAGAAGAAUACAAUAACUGAAAAUCAGUUGCAAACACAUCUAACAGUGGCUUUCAAGCAUUCUUAGAAUAUCAUCAUUAGAAGUUGAUAUCGGCAUAAAAUUUGAAGUAGUUACUGAUGUGUCUACCUCAUUAGAGUAUCUACUAUAAAAACGUAAUGAGAUCCCGUGGUGGCGCAGUGGUUAACGAAUCCGACUAGGAACCAUGAGGCCCCUGCCCUUGCUCAGUGGGUUCACCAUCCGGCGUUGCCGUGAGCUGUGGUGUAGGUUGC